UACACACAAGAUCAAGUUAUUAUCCAGUUCUAUAUUCCAAUAACACUGAAGUGCACUGGUGAAGCUCCUGUACACGUUACAGUUACUGUAAUGUGUAAUAAUGGAACUGAUAGCAGUACAACUUACCUAAUAAAGCAAAAGAUCAAUGUAACAGGAUUAAUAAUAGUCCCUCAGUAUCAACAGUGUAAUAUCAGUACUGUAUUUAGUAAUGAGGCUGGUAGUAGUGAACCAUUUAUACUAGGAUUUGAUACAUAUCCUACUAUCACUAGUGGCACUAAUAUUACUAUUGUCACUAUUAUUGAUACUGCUAUUACUACUACUGAUCAUGAUACUAUUACUGUACAAACAUCUCCUACCAUCACAUC